rnacentral:rRNA from 1 species
UACGGAAGGCAGCAGUGGGGAAUAUUGCACAAUGGGCGAAAGCCUGAUGCAGCUAUGCCGCGUGUAUGAAGAAGGCCUUAGGGUUGUAAAGUACUUUCAUCGGGGAGGAAAAAAACAAAACUAAUAAUUUUAUUUCUUGACGUUACCCGAAAAAGAAGCACCGGCUAACUCCGUGCCAGCAGCCGCGGUAAUACGGAGGGUGCUAGCGUUAAUCAGAAUUACUGGGCGUAAAGAGCACGUAGGUGGUUUUUUUAAGUCAGAUGUGAAAUCCCUGGGCUUAACCUAGGAACUGCAUUUUGAAACUGAAAUACUAGAGUAUCGUAGAGGGAGGUAGAAUUCUAGGUGUAGCGGUGAAAUGCGUAGAUAUCUGGAGGAAUACCUGUGGCGAAAGCGGCCUCCUAAACGAAUACUGACACUGAGGUGCGAAAGCGUGGGGAGCAAACAGGGAUUUAGAUACC